GAGUUUGGGGAGAAGGAGCUCUGCCUUCCCACUGGGGCCCAGAGAUUCUGGGUAGCCUACUAAGGUCACAGGAUGAGAGAGCCAGGACACACUCAGAGCCUCCCUGAAGAGUCCCCACCAUGCCACUGGCCCAGCUCACAGCUAGACAGCCUCCUGGAGGAGAGGGAACCCUGGGAGAGGGGCAGGAAACACCACCAUGUGCCGAGCCCAUUGAUGCAUCAUUGUGCUUUUCCCUCAAGGCAGUACCUGUAUCAUUCCCAUCCACAGAGGAGGAGCCCGAGGCCCAGAGAAGACCACAGAAGCUACUGAGUGAUGUGGCUAGCCUAGCUCUAGUGCUGGGUUCCACCUGCCUGUGGGCUUCAGGUGCCAACAGCCAUGCCCUGGGAGCCCAAGCUGGGCAUCCUCUGAGCAAGUUCAAGGGGACAGCAUAUUUGACAUGGUGGGCUGGUAAGUGCCCCUCUCCCCACUGCCCUCAGAGCCAGCUGGUGGGCACCAGCUUCCUCCCUGCAGCUGCCCUUGGAGAGGCCAACAGUAGGGGCAGGGAGGCAAAUAGUAGACCUGCCCCUAACCUCGACAGCCCACCUAAGAGCAGAGGGCAGCGGCAGGCAGAUGGCGAAACGGAGGCACUGAGCACUUCACUAACAGUGCACAGAGUUGGCCUCAGAAUCAGUGCCUCCAACCAUCAUGCCACUCUGCCUACAGGAGGGACCUGGAACCUGGACCCCUGCCCACGCCCACUCUGGAAGCCUCAGUCAGCAGUUCCAGGAGCAUUGCCUGGCCUCCAGCGUGGCCAGGAUGGGGCUGUGCUCCUGGAUAUGUCUCCCUCUUCCUGUAAGUCGCACACAUCCCCAGGGCCAAGUCUUCCCAUCCCUGCACUCAGCCUCACUCCAAUUCAUGGCCUUCUUAGUGAGGCCAGACCCACCCAUGUUCACCUGAUCCAAGGAUGCAGCCUCCCACCCACCUCUUGCCCCAGCUCCUGCUGCUGGGCAGACCCUGCAGGCUCUGCUCACAUAUCCAUCUGUGUUGGGCAUGACCUCCACCCUCCCUUCCCUGUGCUGUGUUUGGCACUGUGGGGCAGGCCCCAGGGGCUCCAAGUCAUCCUUCCCUGCUCAGAAGCCAGGAGGGACCUCCAAGUUCCCAGGUGCUGCAGGGAGAAGGUGUGAGCACCUUACCAUGUAUUGGGCAGGGCCUGGGAAACACCAUCUUAGUCACUCCUCACAGCCCCCAGACAGGGACACCAUUUCAGCCCCCAUUCUACCGAUGACAAAACCGAUGACAAAAAAAGGCUCAGAGGUAAAGUGACUUGUGCAAUGUCACAUGACUCUGAGUGGCAAAAUUCAGACUCAGGUCUGAUCACUCCAAGCAGACACCUGCACCAGAACCUCUCGGGGACUUUGGUUCUAGUGAGGAUUUGUAUGGAGGGGCACUCAGUAACCUGGGUCUUUAUAAGAGCCACCCCGCAUACAGAGCACCUUGAGAAGCACCUUUCUCCUUGUGAUGGGCAGGGGGCUGAGUGUCUCAGGCCACCUGGCCUCAGCUCAGAGAGCACUGGCCACAAGGGAUGGGCAUGGCACGUUUCCGGUAGGAACAGGCACCAGCCUGUUCUAAGAAAAAGGAAUGAAAGAGUAGACAUGGAAUGUGACCCCUGAAGCACAGCAUCAUAUGAGGACAGUUAAGCCCCCGGAUGUCUGCAGGUCUACCUGACAGCCGUCAGGCCUUACCACAGGAGCUUGGAGAAGCGGAGUUUUCUCCAAACUUCCCCAGGAAGGAGAUGUCUUGGCCAUUUUGGUCAUCUCCGCUGGCUAAACAGCAGGCU
rnacentral:lncRNA from 13 species